AGUGAACGCUGGCGGUAGGCCUAACACAUGCAAGUCGAACGGCAGCACAGGAGAGCUUGCUCUCUGGGUGGCGAGUGGCGGACGGGUGAGGAAUACAUCGGAAUCUACUUUUUCGUGGGGGAUAACGUAGGGAAACUUACGCUAAUACCGCAUACGACCUACGGGUGAAAGCAGGGGAUCUUCGGACCUUGCGCGAUUGAAUGAGCCGAUGUCGGAUUAGCUAGUUGGCGGGGUAAAGGCCCACCAAGGCGACGAUCCGUAGCUGGUCUGAGAGGAUGAUCAGCCACACUGGAACUGAGACACGGUCCAGACUCCUACGGGAGGCAGCAGUGGGGAAUAUUGGACAAUGGGCGCAAGCCUGAUCCAGCUAUACCGCGUGGGUGGAGAAGGCCUUCGGGUUGUAAAGCCCUUUUGUUGGGAAAGAAAUCCAGCUGGUUAAUACCCGGUUGGGAUGACGGUACCCAAAGAAUAAGCACCGGCUAACUUCGUGCCAGCCGCCGCCGAA
rnacentral:rRNA from 1 species